AUACGGAGGGUGCAAGCGUUACUCGGAAUCACUGGGCGUAAAGGACGCGUAGGCGGGUUGGAAAGUCUGAUGUGAAAUCCUACAGCUUAACUGUAGAACUGCAUUUGAAACUGCUAACCUAGAGUAUGGGAGGGGGAGAUGGAAUUAGUGGUGUAGGGGUAAAAUCCGUAGAUAUCACUAGGAAUACCGAAAGCGAAGGCGAUCUCCUGGAACAUAACUGACGCUAAGGCGUGAAAGCGUGGGGAGCAAACAGGAUUAGAAACCCUAGUAGUCC
rnacentral:rRNA from 1 species